CAGUAGCCGCGGGAAUACGUAGGGUGCAAGCGUUAAUCGGAAUUACUGGGCGUAAAGCGUGCGCAGGCGGUCCGCUAAGACAGAUGUGAAAUCCCCGGGCUUAACCUGGGAACUGCAUUUGUGACUGGCGGGCUAGAGUAUGGCAGAGGGGGGUAGAAUUCCACGUGUAGCAGUGAAAUGCGUAGAGAUGUGGAGGAAUACCGAUGGCGAAGGCAGCCCCCUGGGCCAAUACUGACGCUCAUGCACGAAAGCGUGGGGAGCAAACAGGAUUAGAUACCCCGGGUAGUCCCUGUCUCUUAUA
rnacentral:rRNA from 1 species